CAGUCGCCACGGGAAUACGGAGGGAGCUAGCGUUGUUCGGAAUUACUGGGCGUAAAGCGCGCGUAGGCGGUUACUCAAGUCAGAGGUGAAAGCCCGGGGCUCAACCCCGGAACUGCCUUUGAAACUAGGUGACUAGAAUCUUGGAGAGGUCAGUGGAAUUCCGAGUGUAGAGGUGAAAUUCGUAGAUAUUCGGAAGAACACCAGUGGCGAAGGCGACUGACUGGACAAGUAUUGACGCUGAGGUGCGAAAGCGUGGGGAGCAAACAGGAUUAGAGACCCGUGUAGUCCCUGUCUCUUAUAC
rnacentral:rRNA from 1 species